UCUAAAUAAAUUAAAACUUUCAACAACGGAUCUCUUGGUUCUGGCAUCGAUGAAGAACGCAGCGAAAUGCGAUAAGUAAUGUGAAUUGCAGAAUUCAGUGAAUCAUCGAAUCUUUGAACGCACAUUGCGCCCUCUGGUAUUCCAGAGGGCAUGCCUGUUCGAGCGUCAUU
rnacentral:rRNA from 2 species